rnacentral:rRNA from 2 species
GAGACGCUGGCGGCGUGCCUAAUACAUGCAAGUCGAACGAACUCUGGUAUUGAUUGGUGCUUGCAUCAUGAUUUACAUUUGAGUGAGUGGCGAACUGGUGAGUAACACGUGGGAAACCUGCCCAGAAGCGGGGGAUAACACCUGGAAACAGAUGCUAAUACCGCAUAACAACUUGGACCGCAUGGUCCGAGCUUGAAAGAUGGCUUCGGCUAUCACUUUUGGAUGGUCCCGCGGCGUAUUAGCUAGAUGGUGGGGUAACGGCUCACCAUGGCAAUGAUACGUAGCCGACCUGAGAGGGUAAUCGGCCACAUUGGGACUGAGACACGGCCCAAACUCCUACGGGAGGCAGCAGUAGGGAAUCUUCCACAAUGGACGAAAGUCUGAUGGAGCAACGCCGCGUGAGUGAAGAAGGGUUUCGGCUCGUAAAACUCUGUUGUUAAAGAAGAACAUAUCUGAGAGUAACUGUUCAGGUAUUGACGGUAUUUAACCAGAAAGCCACGGCUAACUACGUGCCAGCAGCCGCGGUAAUACGUAGGUGGCAAGCGUUGUCCGGAUUUAUUGGGCGUAAAGCGAGCGCAGGCGGUUUUUUAAGUCUGAUGUGAAAGCCUUCGGCUCAACCGAAGAAGUGCAUCGGAAACUGGGAAACUUGAGUGCAGAAGAGGACAGUGGAACUCCAUGUGUAGCGGUGAAAUGCGUAGAUAUAUGGAAGAACACCAGUGGCGAAGGCGGCUGUCUGGUCUGUAACUGACGCUGAGGCUCGAAAGUAUGGGUAGCAAACAGGAUUAGAUACCCUGGUAGUCCAUACCGUAAACGAUGAAUGCUAAGUGUUGGAGGGUUUCCGCCCUUCAGUGCUGCAGCUAACGCAUUAAGCAUUCCGCCUGGGGAGUACGGCCGCAAGGCUGAAACUCAAAGGAAUUGACGGGGGCCCGCACAAGCGGUGGAGCAUGUGGUUUAAUUCGAAGCUACGCGAAGAACCUUACCAGGUCUUGACAUACUAUGCAAAUCUAAGAGAUUAGACGUUCCCUUUCGGGGAACAUGGAUACAGGUGGUGCAUGGUUGUCGUCAGCUCGUGUCGUGAGAUGUUGGGUUAAGUCCCGCAACGAGCGCAACCCUUAUUAUCAGUUGCCAGCAUUAAGUUGGGCACUCUGGUGAGACUGCCGGUGACAAACCGGAGGAAGGUGGGGAUGACGUCAAAUCAUCAUGCCCCUUAUGACCUGGGCUACACACGUGCUACAAUGGAUGGUACAACGAGUUGCGAACUCGCGAGAGUAAGCUAAUCUCUUAAAGCCAUUCUCAGUUCGGAUUGUAGGCUGCAACUCGCCUACAUGAAGUCGGAAUCGCUAGUAAUCGCGGAUCAGCAUGCCGCGGUGAAUACGUUCCCGGGCCUUGUACACACCGCCCGUCACACCAUGAGAGUUUGUAACACCCAAAGUCGGUGGGGUAACCUUUUAGGAACCAGCCGCCUAAGGUGGGACAGAUGAUUAGGGGAAGU